UUAGAUUAGAAAUAAAGAGUCCAAGUCAACUAAGACUCUAUCCUUAUCUCUUUGCGCCACACUUGGACUCAUAUCCUUAUCUCCAUGCCAAAUAGGAUUUGGCUUGACCUUUUUGAUGUCAAAGUAGUUAACCCAAUAAGGGUGGGUAGCAAUAAUUGAUGACUCAUAAUCCUAUCUCUUGUCUAAUUCGAAUGCGAUCCGAAUUAAAAAUAAGAUGAAAACAAGGAAAAAAAUUUUUCAUACAAAGAAGGUUGUUGGCGCCAUGUUAUUUUUUCCUCUAUUUUUUUUGGAAAGUCCUAGAAUCCUUCUCCACGCCAUAGUGAUUUUUCUAGAAUUUUUUGGGAUGCCAAAAGUGAUUUUGGUGUGGACUCUUGGCGCCCUUCCAUUGAUGAAACCCUAAUUCGUAGUCUAUAAAAAGGGGUCUCCUCCUUUUUGGCACAUGCAUCCUUUUUCCUUGCUGGUGAUUUUGUUUCCAGAGUCUCUCCUCUUCCUCUCUUCCUCCUCUAGAUCUCCUCUUAUUUGGAGUGUCCAAGGUGAUUGAAGAAGGAAGAGAUCGACCGUCGAAAUUGCUUGCAGGCUAGCACCUCCAAGCCCUGAUCUGCGUCAGUCUUCGCAUGAAUUUUUCUGUAGAGGCCAGAUGACUUCAUGUGGCUGCGAGCGAUCUGAAGAACAUCCUCUUCGAGCAUUGGACCUAAGGAGAUCAAGAUUUAAUUGGUUUGGUAAAUGUUUUUAAUCUGUCUUGAUCUUAUUGUUAGAUCUAAUAAUUAGAUCUAGAAUUUCAACAUUGAUGAGAUCGAUGUGUGUUUUUAUUUUCAGAUCUAAAGUGCAUAUUUUUUAUAUCAUAGAUCAUGAUGUAGUAGUCUAAGAUUAGAUCUUAUGCAUGUGAUUAGGAUUAAAUUGUUUAAUCUUUCGUUUCCAUUGCAUAAAAAUUUUAAAAUUCUAUGUAUAGCACUCCUGCAUAUUUUCUUUAAUUGCUAUCAGAGUAUGGUUAUUUUGAUAUGAAUUAUUAUGACUUUAGAUCUGAUUUUUUGAUAUUAGAUCUGAUUAUUUAUGAUUUAGAUGAGAUCUAAAUAAGUUUAUUUUCAGGAAGUUAUUUUUUAGUGAAGACCAAAUUCACGCGUCUGCUACACUUAUCUCUUCUAUUAUAAUGCAAGAAAACUUUAAGCUACCUGUCUGGGAGACACUGAGCUUUCUGUUUGCGAAUGCUGUCCUAUAUAUGCUCCCUCCUUUAGAAGGAACACCUUAUAUAGUUCAGUUUGCAGUUUUUUAAAGCAGAAAAGAAAAUGCAUAAGACAGAAAGGCUUAUGUUCAUUGAUAUCUAUAAACACAGAAAUAGAACUUGAUUACAUGUGACUCCAUCCAUUCACCCCUCUUUAAGCAUGUAAUGCACAUGUCUAAUGCUAGCAUAAUGGAUAUCUGACACCACCAGAAAGGUUUCCAAAGAAAAUUGUGGUAUAUCAAUUGCUUUUUCCAGACUUCACACAGGAGGAGGUGAAGCUGAUGAUAAAGGCUAGUGCUACUGCUGUUGGUCUUGGUCCAUCCCCGACUGCGAGU
rnacentral:lncRNA from 1 species